rnacentral:rRNA from 1 species
UGAGGAAUAUUGGUCAAUGGACGAGAGUCUGAACCAGCCAAGUAGCGUGCAGGAUGACGGCCCUAUGGGUUGUAAACUGCUUUUGUUUGGGAAUAAUCGACAUUACGUGUAAUGUUUUGCAUGUACCAUUCGAAUAAGGACCGGCUAAUUCCGUGCCAGCAGCCGCGGUAAUACGGAAGGUCCAGUCGUUAUCCGGUUUUAUUGGGUUUAAAGGGAGUGUAGGCGGUUGGUUAAGCGUGUUGUGAAAUGUAGAUGGUCAACAUCUGACUUGCAGCGCGAACUGUCAGACUUGAGUGCGUACAACGUAGGCGGAAGUCCUGGUGUAGCGGUGAAAUGCUUAGAUGUCAUGAAGAACUCCGAUUGCGAAGGCAGCUUACGGGAGCGCAACUGACGCUGAAGCUCGAAGGUGCGGGUAUCGAACAGG